UACUGGGCGUAAGCCCCCGCAGCGUGAGGUACGUUUGCGUGACAGCUGCUGCUACGAGCAGAGAUGCGAAGACGCUGACUGAGGACAGAGAGGACCUGAAUCUGGUGGAGCGGUGAAAUGCGUGGAGAUCCGGAGAACACCAAAGGCGCAGCAGGGUCCUGGCUGGUCACUGACGCUGAGGGCGAAAGCUAGGGGAGCGAACGGGAUUAGAUACCCCGGUAGUCCUAGCUGUAAACGAUGACCACUAGGUGUGGGAGGUAUCGACCCCUUCCGUGCCGGAGCCAACGCACUAAGUGGUCCGCCUGGGGAGUACGGUCGCAAGAUUAAAACUCAAAGGAAUUGACGGGGACCCGCACAAGCAGCGGAGCGUGUGGUUUAAUUCGAAGCGACGCGAAGAACCUUACCAGGGCUUGACAUGUCUGUGCACCAGCCCGAGAGGGUUGUACCCGCAAGGGACGCAGACACAGGUGCUGCAUGGCUGUCGUCGGCUCGUGCCGUGAGGUGUUGGGUUAAGUCCCGCAACGAGCGCAACCCCUGCACGUAGUUGCCACUCCGCAAGGAGGGAACUCUACGUGGACUGCUCCGGAUAACGGAGAGGAAGGUGGGGAUGACGUCAAGUCCGCAUGGCCUUUAUGUCCAGGGCUACACACGUGUUACAAUGCAGGGUACAAACCGUUGCCAACCCGCGAGGGGGAGCUAAUCGGAAAAAACUCUGCUCAGUUCGGAUUGCAGUCCGCAACUCGACUGCAUGAAGCCGGAAUCGCUAGUAAUGCCGUAUCAGAAUGAUGGCGUGAAUACGUUCCCGGGCCUUGUACACACCGCCCGUCACAUCACGAAAGUGGGUUGCACUAGAAGUCUGCAGGCUAACCCGCAAGGGAGGCAGCGGCCCAAGGUAUGACUCAUGGUUGGGGUGAAGUCGUAACAAGGUAACCAAGGCGAUCGCAGAGCAAUAAUAGCCA
rnacentral:rRNA from 1 species